UGAUAGAACAGCCAAGCAGUGUGGCCGG
rnacentral:piRNA from 1 species